CGUUUUCUCGCAAAACGGGAGACACAUAGAGUCUGGACGUGUCAGUCACUGAGGAUGUAGGACGCCUAAAACACCCCCGUCCGAGUUAACGGCCGACACCCCCUGGGCCUCUGCUGAAUGUAUGCCGGGUCCAACGUGUCUGUGAACGCCUCGCCCCGUCCACGGCGGGUGACCGAUUCCCCUCCUGCAACAUCGAGGCACCGCCGCGGGGCCAAAUCUCAUCAGAGCGCCACUCUUCUUCUUCUUCUUCUUUUUCUUCUUCUCCUCUUUUUUUUUUUUUUUUUUUUUAACUGGACUGCAUUGAACAGGCUGGAAAAGGUCCUCGGCCAGUAACCUAAAAAGAACGAUCGGGGUGGCUCUGGUCGGCACACACUCAAAUAUAUAUAUACACCAACAUAGAAUUAUACAUCAUGUACACACACAUUGUAUUUGAGUAUUGCUCAAUAAGCUUAUGUAAAUACAAAUGUAUCACUCUCCAAAUAUUACAGCAUACAUGUUGAUAGAUAUUUUAAAUGAGAAACCAUCGUACGAUACAGAAACAAUGUUAUGAAGCCUACUGUGAAUAAUAAUUGGAGAGCCUGAUAGCGGUGGCUGUGUGUGUGUGUGUGUGUGUGUGUGUGCGCAGGUGUGAUUGUAUGUGUUGGGACGAGUGCUGAGGAGGGGUGGACGUGUCGGGGGGGGGUGAGUGUUCAUAAAGCUGUAGAUUACUGUGUCAUGUCUGUCUGAAAGCUCAGACGCGCUUUAAAUGUUUGAAAAGUGUUACCUUAAGUGUUUUCUAUACAGUGUUUGCAAAGAUCAAGAAACAAUUGCAUAUAAAGUAUUUACCAAGACCAAGCGCUCGAUGGUGUGGUCUGUUUCCUCUCUCAUACCCACAUCUAAUGUCUCCGUCUUCGCUGUCGCCAGAUCCCGGCUAAAAAAAAAAAAAAAAAAAGAAGACUUUUAUUCUUCUUUUAAGACCUGCGUGAGUUGAACUCUGGCGUUCCUGCUGCGGCUGCAUGCAUGUGGGAGGAUAAAUACAAAGCACGUUCAGUCGCAGUGCAAACCGAGCGAGUAAGCAGAUGAUGUUCCUCCAGGGUGCCAGGACAUAUGUAAAGCAUAACCACGCGGUCCUCCACACACACACACACGUUGCAACAUACUGAGACUUUUAGGAAAUGAUUUAAGGUAUACAACUGUUUUGAUGUGCUUAACAAAUGUUCUAACACAAAAGCUUUUCAUGUUCUCUUUUCAGAGGAUGGUGAACGGCAAAGUGCCCGACGGGGGCACAAAUAUUGUGAGCAUCCUCUCCCUCCUACUACUAUCACUCCUCCACUGCGUGUGGGCGCAAUUUCCCUGAGCAAACCCCUAAACUGGAGUUUAUGGUGUUUCCACGCUCAUUUCGAGGUUUAUGUGUGACACUGUCUCCGUGCGUCCUCUGAGGGAGGUCUUCGCUCUCCCGUUCUUCACAUUCCUCUGUUUUCUCAGAUCUCUCUUUUAUUGCCUUGUUGUGCUCCGGCCCGUCGUCUGCCAGGAUCUCUUGUCUCUUCAAAGUGCCCACAUCAAUAACAAGAUAACUAGCUGCUCUCUGCUCGUGGGGCUGGCGAUCAUUUUGCAGCUUAAGAGCUGCAGAGGAUUGGAGGCAAAAUGGAUGCUGUGAAGAAUGUUAAUGUGUGUUGAAUGAGAACACUGCCUCCCUCUGGCAAGAAGAGCUACAGCCUCCCCCCCUUCCCCCCAAAGAGGCCUUUUCAUGUUGUCAUAAACAGUCUAACUCCUCACGAUAAGAAUCGUUACUUUAGAAACGCCAGGAGGGAAGCAGAUUGUUUUUGCUGCUGUCACUGGCUUGUUUGGGUUUAAAUGGAAAACGUAACUGAAGGUGAUGCAACCACAUGGACAUUUGAUGAGCGGCAGGCAGACAUUUACUCGUGUCUUUACCAGUUGUUUUCAUUAAACGUUGAUCGUCCACAGCCAUCUGGCACAAUGUCAUCUGUUGUGUAACAACAUGUCAACACGGCCCUCCGUCCCCGUCUCUCACAGCUAGCUUUUAAUGCCUCUUUGUCUCGCGUCUCUCCGCUGUGCUCUUGUGUCUGACCCACUUCCACGAGUAGAGGGGCCCUGUGGGGCCCACAAAGAGCCCCCCCCCCCGCCGUUCCUCCAUCAGCCGGCGUCGGGUCGGUGUCACUCGGCUCACAAUACAAACUCAAGCCCACACGCUUGUCCGGUCCGGCCCGGGUCGAGGAGCCGGCGUCUGAUCAGAUCCUUCUGCCCGAGCUGGUGGGCCCCGGGCCCCUCGGAGCGAACACGGCCAACAUGUGUGGGUGUGUAGCAGAUGCGUGAAAUGGACCAGGACCUGUGCACAUUCCUUCCACUUCUGUCUCGACUGAAAUGGCACAUUUUACACUUGCGGUUGCUCAACGUGGUGAAAUAAUACUUGUUUUAGGCAUUCAAGGAGUAGCAUGUUGUAACCGUAACUAUUCAGCAGAAGCCAGACGGACACAGUUGUGGUCUAAAAUAAGAUGCAAGUAUGUGCCAAGCGUGCGGUGAUUGUAAUGACCAUUGCUAACUCUGUACUGCAGGACACAAAGUACUCUUGUUCGGUCUUCACUCCUUUUGAGUUUCAGUUGGUUUGGUCUGUUCACUUUGCGUUUUUGUUGAAAACCUUUUUCUAUUAACGUGCGAGAAAGGCCAAAUUUAGAAAUGAUAUGGAUCAGGAAACAUUUAUUGCCAUAAUAUGUCAGACAUACAAGGAAUUUGACUUUGGUUGGUGCAUGACAGCAGACUGGACGACAAGACAGCAGUGCAAGAGGGAUAGAAUAUAAUGCUAUGUGUUGGUUUAAAAAUAAAGGAAUAAAAGCUGAAAGUUAAAAAUAUUUUAAAAUUAAAAAUAAAGUGUACCGCCGAACAGAAAGGGACAACUGUUGGUGUGGCGGGAGGUCUUAGUCCUGAUGGACCUCAGCCUCCUCCCAGAUGGAAGGGGCACAAACAGUUUUUGUCCGGGGUGAGAGGGGUCGGCCGCGAUCUUUUUAGCUCGCUUCAGAGACCUGGAAGCGAACAAGUCCUGCAGGGACGGCAGAUUGCAGCCGAUCACCCUCUCUGCAGAGCGGAUGACACGCUGCAGCCUGCCCUUGUCCUUGGCUGUGGCUGCAGCGUACCAGACGG
ensembl:lncRNA